GCGGUUGGCUGGAUGGCUGCGGGUUAAAAGACUCGAGGAAAGUCCGGACUCCAUAAAGCAACGGUGCCGGAUAACUCCCGGCCAGGGUAACCUGAGGGAAAGCGCAACAGAAAGUAUACCGCCUCUUUAGAGGUAAGGGUGAAAUGGUGAGGUAAGAGCUCACCACACGAUUGGUAACAAACGUGGUACGGCAAGCCCCACCGGGAGCAACGCCAAAUAGGAACCUACUGGAUGUAAAUCCAAAGCUGCUUUAGCUUUUUUGGUUCGGGUUGGCGGCUUAAGGAAUGCAGGUAACUGUAUUUCUAGAUGAAUGGCCAUACAAAGAGUUUUAACUCUUGGACAGAAUCCGGCUUAUAGGCCAACCGCACUU
rnacentral:RNase_P_RNA from 1 species